GUUCCCGCGGGCUGGUAGGUCCUGGGAAGCAGAGGAGCUGGGCACUCCAGUGCCCGGGGGAGGCGCCCUCUACUCUCACACCUGACGAGGCAUACUGUGGUGAGAAUGGAAAAGACCGAUGAGCUCCUGUGUGACAUCUGUAUCCAGGGAAGGUCACACCAAACAACCAACCAGCAGAGCAGGUUCUGGCCCAGGGCACCCAGGAGCAGAAAACGAUAGUGAAAAAACUGAAAGCAAUCCUAUAGUCCUUCAGCCAGUGGUUGACUGUGAUACAGCC